rnacentral:lncRNA from 1 species
GGCUUCUUGAUCCUAUGUGUUGUAUUGAGUGUUGGUCACUGGUCUUUGGGAAGCUUGGACAGAAGUGGGGCAGCCAUGGAGCUGCUGACUGGGACUGGCCUGUGGCCCGUGGUCAUAGUCACAGUCAUCUUCAUAUUACUGGUGGACAUGUUGCACCGGUGCCAGCGCUGGACUUCUUGCUGCCCACCAGACCCUGUGCCAUGGCCUGUGCUGGGUAACCUGCUGCAGGUGGACCUGGAUAACAUGCCAUAUAACUUGUACAAGCUUCACAACCGCUAUGGUGACGUGUUCAGCCUGCAGAUGGGCUGGAACCACAUGGCCGUGAUCAACGGACUGAAGGUGUGGUCCUUGCUCCUUAUGGGCCUGAGUGGAAAGAGCAGAGGUGAUUCUCUGCGUCGACCCUGUGCAACUUCAGCCUGGGCAAGAAAUCACUGGAGCAGUGGGUGAUGGAAGAGGUUGGACACCUCUUUGAUGUCUUCACUGCCCAUGCUGAGGAGGCUGUAGACAAGAGAUUUGGAAAGAACACAUCUAGAAGUGUCCACCACAGUAAUAGGAGCCUGGAGAUUGACAUACAGCAAAAGGAAGUGAGAAGCUGACCAAGGUCAGGGCUUCUAGAAGCUGAGACCCUGGCCCUCUGCCCACAUGGAACAUCUGUGAGAUUUUCCAGGGUUGGCUGACAAAGUCUUCCCUGGGCAAAAGACAUUUCUCAUAAUGGUGGAUAAGCUGGUGACUGAGCACAAGAGGACCUGGAACUCGGACCAGCCGCCUCGAGACCUGACUGAUGCCUUUAUGGCUGAGAUGGAGAAGGCAAAGGGAAACCCUGAGAGUAGCUUCAAUGAUGCAAAUCUAUGUCUGGUUGUCCUUGACCUGCUGGGUGCUGCAACUGUGACCACCUCAACCACACUGUCCUGGGCCCUGCUGCUUAUGAUCCUGCAUCCGGAUGUGCAGUGUGAGCCUGGCUGGGGCUGUCAAGAAAGGAGGAGGAGGGUAGAGGCAAACUCCUUAAACUUACUUGGGACACUUGUAGAUCCCAGCAUUGAGUUAACCCAGACUGCAGUAAGUAUGGUUGCCUUAUUUCUCCCAUGGACCCAGCCCUUAACAGAGAGGUAGUGGAUGGACAAGGGGCACCCACUGAAGCAUCUUAACUGAUGGGAAAAUGUCCUUCCAGGCCAAGUACAACAGGAAAUCGAUGAGGUCAUUUGGUAUGUGUGGCUUCCAGAGAUGGCAGACCAGGUCUGCAUGCCCUUCACCAAUGCUGUCAUUCAUGAGGUACAGUGCUUACAGUUACUGGGAUAUCAUCCCAAUAACUUUGCCACACAGGACUUCUCGUGACAUUGAAGUGUGGGGCUUUCUUAUCCCUAAGGUAGGUCUGGGUCUCUCCAGUGUCUAGUCAGUGUUGCCAGCUACCCGCUGACUUGAUCUGCCCAGUUAAGAAGGACUAGAUUACAGGCAUUCCAAUUCUCAACUCAAGGGAACCAACAUCCCCUGGGUAAAUAUGGGAAUAGAAACAAGAGCAAUAACUGCUUUAGAAUCCCUACCUAGAAAUGCAGGCAAGGUAAAAUAUGGCAGGAGUGGUUGUAACAGCCACUACCUACAAAUACAGGUCACAGUGUGUACAUCUGUCCCAUCACAUUUCCAUGUCACAGUAUUAAUGAAAUCUGUGAAGCUUCUGUGGUUAGUUUAUAUGACAGCAUCCAGUGUGUGUGUGGUACAGGCUGUGCCUGUGAAUGUCGUGACUAGUAAGGGUCUAGUAAAACUCACCCUGUUCAUGUUCACACAAUGUGCUUCAUGCCAGGGCAUGACUCUCAUCUCCAACCUGUUCCGUGCUGAAGGAUGAGACUGUCUGGGAGAAGCCCCUUCGCUUCCAUCCUGAACACUUCCUGGAUGCCCAGGGCCACUUUGUGAAGCCUGAGGCCUUCAUGCCAUUCUCAGCAGGUGCCUCUAGGGUGCCUUCCUGCCUAUCUUUCCCUAGGGUGCCUUGGAGGGUGGAGCACCAAUCAGGUCCCAGACUGAGCCCUCUUCUACACAUAGGCCACAGAUCAUGCCUGGGGGAGCCCCUGGCCCUCAUGGAGCUCUUCCUCUUCUUCACCUGCCUCCUGCAGCGCUUUAGCUUCUCAAUGCCAGCUGGACAAUCCCUUCCCAGUGAUUAUGGCAUCUAUACAAUGCCAGUUACUCCAGCACCUACCAGCUCUGUGCAGUGGUUUGCUAGCAGGGGCAGUGGCUCCAGCCAUCAUCACAGAUUGUUCUGACUGAUGUCCAAUAAACAAGUUUUGUGUCUGAAUCUCAGAUUCUAAGUCCAA